AAUGAUUACUGCCGCUAGGGGGAGCCGUGACGUCAAUGGAGUGCAAUAGUGAGAUUGAAGUCUUGGAGAAUGACUAUUUCUGAAAACGAAUGUUUCUCCGUCUCAUAAUUUAACCCUAUUAAUUCAGCAGCGUCCAGGCCGCUAGAGUACUCACCCUAUCGCCUGCUGUACUAACGGGAGCUGCAGCUGUUUACUGAGGGUGAGACUGAACAUGGACAAGGCUCAGGAGAAACAGAAGGAGAGCCACCGGAGGAGAAUCAAGGGGACCAAGUGCUUCGACAGCUGGCCGAAUGACUUGGCUUUAGAAGAAGGAUGAAAGGAAGGCAAGACCUGGGAAAGCUUGGUGCUCUUUCGCUCCUAGCUGGGGUCACCAUCUGUUAAGGGAACGUACCUUACCUCCCUUAUCAACCCCACUGACAUAAAACAUCUGACAAGCUAAGAAAGAGCAAGAAAACGAUCAUACAGGGCACAUAAUGUGAGAUGCACAGAUCCGCUUAAAACACUAGCACUGCAAACACUCAGAACAAAGAGGGCAACAGCGUCUGGACUUUGCAGUUUCCCUCUUCGGGUCCACCUUCCAAGACUGACUACCUGUUGAAAACAAGUGACAGGCAGAACCUCCCAUCCACAUAGCACCCACCUCCUCUCUGUUCCACACUACAGAAUUCAGUAUUUUAGUCUGAUUGCCAUAGGACUAUUGCUCGGCCUCCAACAGCAAGGCACUUCAGAUGGUAGUGCGUACGGUAGUACAUCACUAGGGCAAAGGUGCCUGCCGUCCAGGGCCUCUACACCAGGCGGUGUCAGAGGAAGGCCCUAAAAAUUGUCAAAGACCCCAGCCACCACAGACUGUUCUCUCUACUACCGCAUGGCAAGCGGUACCGGAGUGCCAAGUCCAGGACAAAAGGCUUCUCAACAGUUUUUACCCCCAAGCCAUAAGACUCCUGAAAAGGUAACCAAAUGGUUACCCAGACUAUUUGCAUUGUGUGCCCCCCCCAACCCCUAUUUUACGCUGCUGCUACUCUCUGUUUAUCUUAUAUGCAUAGUCACUUUAACUAUACAAUCAUGUACAUACUACCUAAAUUGGCCCGACCAACCAGUGCUCCCACACAUUGGCUAACCGGGCUAUCUGCAUUGUGUCCCACCACCCACCCAACCCCUCUUUUUACGCUUCUGCUACUCUGUUCAUCAUAUAUACAUAGUCAUUUUAACAAUACCUACAUGUAUAUACUACCUCAAUAAGCCUGACUAACAGGUGUCUGUAUAUAGCCUUGCUACUCUUUUUUCACAUGUCUUUUUACUGUUUUAUUUCUUUACUUACCUACACACACACACACCUUUUUUUCCCCCACACCAUUGGUUAUAGGCUGUAAGUACGCAUUUCACUAAGGUAAAAUUGAUUUGACUACUACUGAAAUAAUAUUAUUUCAGUGUAGAUAAGGAAAGGCCUGUUCAAAAUUAAAACAUGCCAGCCAGACAAGCCAGUGUAUGAAUCAAAUGUAUUUACAUAUGUUUGGAGUGAAAAUUAGCUGACUUUGUGAUCUGUAAGGUAAGUAACUGGGGAGUGGGGGCAUUUCAAUUAUAUAAUUUUUUACCCUUGGUGCCUGUUUAUUAAUUAAAGAUGGUAAAUAACAUUAAUUGCAAAGGUUAGCCUAUGCAAAUGAAUAGGAAAACAAAAGCUUAUUAACAGGAAUACAUUUAGCCUAAUUGGUAACAAAUAUGACGUGGUGGAAAGUCAGAAUCCUAGUGAGGCAUUUGUUUGUCAAAUCUAGAUUAAAUAGAAGUCUUCAUGUUUAUCAAAUCUGUAUGCGAUUGUGGGCUAAAUCAAUGACAAACAGCUGAAACGUUCAGGCUUCAUGAUCUGUGAUCAAAACAGGUUGGCGUGUUUUCGGUUCUGUUUAGGCUAAGGUUAUGCAUAAGAAUGCAACUGCACUGAAAUGAAUAGCCUGAUUCAAUGGAAUUCUCCUGAAUAAUAAAUAUUUUUCAUCUGUUAAA